AACGAACGCUGGCGGCAUGCCUAACACAUGCAAGUCGAACGAGACCUUCGGGUCUAGUGGCGCACGGGUGCGUAACGCGUGGGAACCUGCCCUUAGGUUCGGAAUAACUCCCCGAAAGGGGUGCUAAUACCGGAUAAUGUCUUCGGACCAAAGAUUUAUCGCCUUUGGAUGGGCCCGCGUUGGAUUAGCUAGUUGGUAGGGUAAAAGCCUACCAAGGCGACGAUUCAUAGAUGGUCUGAGAGGAUGAUCAGCCACACUGGGACUGAGACACGGCCCAGACUCCUACGGGAGGCAGCAGUGGGGAAUAUUGGAACAUGGGCGAAAGCCUGAUCCAGCAAUGCCGCGUGAGUGAUGAAGGCCUUAGGGUUGUAAAGCUCUUUUACCCGGGAUGAUAAUGACAGUACCGGGAGAAUAAGCUCCGGCUAACUCCGUG
rnacentral:rRNA from 1 species